rnacentral:tRNA from 1 species
GCUUGUUUGGCUCAGUGGAUAGAGCGUUGGCCUGUGGACUCAAGAGUUCUGGGUUCUAUUCCAGUCAAGCA